GGCACUUACUCCAUCAUCUUUGUCAACUGUCCCAAUGAGCAAAUUGCCAGAGAUAUUGCCAGGGCUAGCCUGGAUAAGAAGCUGGCUGCCUCUGUGAACAUCCUGCCCAAGGCAUCCUCACUGUACUUUUGGAAUGGAGAAAUCGAAGAAGCCACUGAAAUCCUGUUGCUAAUAAAGACAAAGACUUCCAAGGUCCACGUGCUAUCCAG